rnacentral:lncRNA from 1 species
AAAAUUUCAUCAUUUUUAGAAACCAGAUACUAAUUUUAAACAAUUAAAAAUGAAUAAAAAAUAACAUAAUUGAACUAAAAUCUAAAAUAAAUCUCAAACCAAUUAAGAAAUUGAUGAGAAUAUUUUUCAUAGAUUCAUCACCAUAACCAGAAAAGAGAAAAUUCACAAAAAAUAUUAAUUGAACUCAUAAAAAAAAUUAAAAAUCAUUUUCAGAAACUAGAAUUAAAAAGGGAAAUAAUGC